GUGAGGAAUUUUCCGCAAUGGGCGAAAGCCUGACGGAGCAAUGCCGCGUGAAGGAUGAAGGCCUAUGGGUUGUAAACUUCUUUUCUCAGAAAAGAAUUAUGACGGUAUCUGAGGAAUAAGCAUCGGCUAACUCUGUGCCAGCAGCCGCGGUAAGACAGAGGAUGCAAGCGUUACCCGGAAUGAUUGGGCGUAAAGCGUCUGUAGGUUGUUUAAAAAGUAUUCUGUAAAAGAUUAGGGCUUAAACCUAGAUAGGCAGAAUAAACUUUUAAGAUAGAGUUUGGUAGAAGCAGAGUGAAUGACCGGUGGAGCGGUGAAAUGCGUAGAUAUCGGGAGGAACACCAAAGGCGAAGGCACUCUGCUGGGCCAAUACUAACACUGAGAGACGAAAGCGAGGGGAGCAAAUGGGAUUAGAUACCCUAGUAGUCC
rnacentral:rRNA from 1 species